UACAGUACUAGGAUAAACGUAUAUCGAGCAUAAGAAAUUCGACAAAUACUGUCAAAGACUAAGAAAUCUAUGGGUUCUACAAAUUACUGUUUAUUUUUGUGCUCCUAGUAAAAUUUUAUUUUCCAAAAACAAAUUUUAGACGAUUUUGGAUCCUAAUAACAUGGACGAAGAAAAAAAUGUUAAACAGAAAAACUAAUCGAAAAAUUUAACGCUAAUUCUUCAUUUUCAAUGAAAUUCUGUAAAAAAUACUUGAAUUUCUUGCCCAAAUUCGUACUUAUUUUCUAUUUAAGGUCCGAACAAUACGUAGAAUUGGUAACCGAAUAAAAUUCGCAAUUAUACGUUGUAGUUAAAUCAAACAUGCAUCAUUAGUGUAAAGCAAAAAAGCUUUUAUUUGACAUUAUACGAGUAUAGUAGAGGAAAAUAUUUUUGUUUCAAUCUUGAGAAGAUGCAUAAUAAAUUACCAGAACCACACGCUACUAUUUAAUAAAUAAAGGUUUUAAACGACUAAUUAAUCAUAAUAGAAGAACCUGUAAUCACAAGUGGAUCACCUUAUAUGUUAUUAUCGUCUAACUAGAAGAUUGACAGUCUAAGAGGGUACUCGAAUUUUGAGGACAUUGCAGGAAAAAAAUGAAUAUACUAUAAUCAUAUCAUCUCAAAUAAAAAUUUGCAUGUCUUUUAAUGUGUAUUAUUAUGGCGCAUGCCAUAGUGCUAAAUAAA
rnacentral:misc_RNA from 1 species